UACGGAGGGUGCAAGCGUUGUUCGGAAUUACUGGGCGUAAAGAGUGUGUAGGCGGUGCUCCAAGUCUGGUGUGAAAUCUCCCGGCUUAACUGGGAGGGUGCAUUAGAAACUGGAAUGCUAGAGGAUGGGAGAGGUAAGCGGAAUUCCUGGUGUAGCGGUGAAAUGCGUAGAUAUCAGGAGGAACACCUGUGGUGUAGACAGCUUACUGGACCAUUUCUGACGCUGAGACACGAAAGCGUGGGUAGCAAACAGG
rnacentral:rRNA from 1 species